rnacentral:tRNA from 1 species
GGCCCUAUAGUCUAGCGGUCAGGACGCUACCCUCUCAAGGUAGAAGCACGGGUUCGAUUCCCGUUAGGGCUACCA